UGGUGGAGACUUGAUUCAUUAGCAAGCUUAUGGUAAUAACAUGCUUUGUUUUGAUUCCGAGAGUAAAUGCACCCUAAACACUUUGAGAGUAUUGAGUGAAACCAUGUAAGGGUGUUAAGUCUCGUUGCUUUGAUUUUGAUGAAUUAUUGAGAUACUUGUUCUUUUUACAAAAUUUAUCCUAUGAAUGCUAAUCUCUUGAUUGUCAUUAUUAUUCAGCUCAUUAAUGUAUGUUUAAUUUAUUUGGUAUUUGAGGAGAUUGAAAGAGAUGUAAGGAAGGUUAAAAGGAGAAUUGGUAUGUUGAAUUGAGGUAUGCUUGAGGACAAGCAUAAAUUAAGUGUGGGGGAAUUUGAUAAGUCACAAAUAGUUAUAUUUAUCGUGUUGAAUUUCCUUGCAAUUUGGUUGAAUAAUGUACUUAAUUAUGGAAAUUAUGUUUAUUCUGACUUAGGUGAUGCAAUAUCAAGGAUGGAGCAAAAUC
rnacentral:lncRNA from 1 species